AGAGAAAUCCUGCAUGUUAUGUAUUAGAUCAACUCAUUAAAAAUAUGGAACUAAGUUUCUUUCAAAAAAAAAAAAAAAAAAAAAACUCAUUAAAAUAUGGAUAAAAAAAGGGAAUUUUACAAAAAUACUGCUUUUGGACCAAAACUUUACAUUUAUACUGGGACACGGCAAAAACAAUAUUUUUACUGCUCCAGCCCAAUUUCAUUACUUUUGUACUGCCCAAGCCCAACAUCAUUUCAUUUCUACUGUGAACAGUAAAACACACGGGAAACAACCUUGUUCGUGUGUGGGGAGACGCCGGAGACGGAAAUCACCAAGAAAAAACCAUUAAAUCCGGCGAAGAGUUUUUUGAAAAGGAAUCAGAAUUGAAGAACAAGACGUACAGAAAACUGUCCCAACAAAAUAACAGAGGUAAUGGAACGACUACCAGUACUCAUCAAGAGCAAUGGACAAUGGAAUGAAGAUCACAAUUAUGUGAACUAUGUGGCUAGUGGAGAAUUCAUACCAACAAAAUGCAAGUACGAAGAGCUACUGCAAAUACUGGUUACUUCAUUGGGGUGCGAAAACACCAGCACAACACUACAAAUACAGUACCAAGCUAAAGAAGGAAUACCACCGAUCAAAAUAUGCAACGAUCGAAGCCUCUACUUUUACUUGGAAUUGAAAAUGAAGGAAACAGAUUUCACGACAUAUCCACUA